rnacentral:rRNA from 1 species
AGCCUAACACAUGCAAGUCGAACGGUAACAGGAAGCAGCUUGCUGCUUCGCUGACGAGUGGCGGACGGGUGAGUAAUGUCUGGGAAACUGCCUGAUGGAGGGGGAUAACUACUGGAAACGGUAGCUAAUACCGCAUAACGUCGCAAGACCAAAGAGGGGGACCUUCGGGCCUCUUGCCAUCGGAUGUGCCCAGAUGGGAUUAGCUAGUAGGUGGGGUAACGGCUCACCUAGGCGACGAUCCCUAGCUGGUCUGAGAGGAUGACCAGCCACACUGGAACUGAGACACGGUCCAGACUCCUACGGGAGGCAGCAGUGGGGAAUAUUGCACAAUGGGCGCAAGCCUGAUGCAGCCAUGCCGCGUGUAUGAAGAAGGCCUUCGGGUUGUAAAGUACUUUCAGCGGGGAGGAAGGCGAUAAGGUUAAUAACCUUGUCGAUUGACGUUACCCGCAGAAGAAGCACCGGCUAACUCCGUGCCAGCAGCCGCGGGUAAUACGGAGGGUGCAAGCGUUAAUCGAAUUACUGGGGCGUAAAGCGCACGCAGGCGGUCUGUCAAGUCGGAUGUGAAAUCCCGGGGCUCAACCUGGGGAACUGCUUCGAAACUGGCCAGCUACAGUCUUGUAAGGGGGUAGAUUCCAGGUGUAGCGGNGAANGCNUAGAAUCUGGAGGAUACCGUGGCAAGGCGGCCCCNGACAAGAUGACGCUAGGNCNAAACUGGGNCAACNGAUAAAUCCUGUNGUCCCCCNAACAUUCACUGAGUGUCCCUNAGCGNGNUUCCGACNANCCUUAAUNACCCCNGGGNUNN